UGGAAACCAGCAAACACUGUCCAAUGACGGACACAAGAUGGCGUUAUUUGAUUUCACACUCGUCUUCUGGGCAAGACACGCCUCCGCGGAAGUGUUGCAAUUGGCUGCUGGUCGUUAGGUUCGAGUCAUGUGAGCGGUUUUGACUACGAUGCCGAGCCAUAUUUUACCUCGAGCGCUUUGUUUUGACUAAGGUGAAGCGAAAUAAAAGAGCAAAACUGCGACAGUUACGCCAGAUUGUUUCCCGGGCAGCUGUUGAAGAUGGCGAACUCAGAUAGGAUCAAGAAAAGGUAUCAGCACUUCAAGAACGACCUGGAAAAGCUCUACUACCGCAGAGAAUAUUGUGCCCUGUGCCAGUGAGAGGAAACGGCACUAACAACUCGGCCAAGAGGAUCUUAAAGGAUAAAAUUCUGCCUCGAACAAAUGCUAAUAACGUCCCCCAGCUCUUUGACUUCUUGACCACUCGUCUGUCAGCUUACUAUAAAGCCAAAGCGGCUUAGACAUGCGUGCAUACAUUUUAUGUAUGGGUGGUCUAUUCACAGAUCAAUGACAUGCACUUUGAAGUGAAGCACUCGUCCUCACCUGGCCAGAUCUACAUAGUGGACAUGUAUAUGGAGAUGUGCAAUUGUCCAAUGGGAUGAAAAGGUGAUCCAUGCAAGCACCAGACUGCCAUUAUCAUCCAUCACCAGUGCCAGAGCAGCAGCUUCUUGCCACUAACAUCUGAAAUGAGAGCAAAAAUGUUGCAUAUAGGCACAAAUUAAAAUGUUGUAAAUCAAAAAUAUAUAUAUUUUUUAAUCUGUUGAGAUUUAUUGUGUAAGACAUCCCUUCAAAAAUGUGAUGCAUGUUUGGCCGAUGUGGCAGGGUGAACUGCGCUAAGAGAUCCAGUGCCAUCCAGUGAGCCUCCAGGCAUACAGUGCCUCAAAUCUCAGCGCAACCAAACAUCGGUCGCACACAGGAAGGACAGGUUGGGUGGACGACAAAUCCGUCUGCAGGACGAACCACAAAAACAUCAGGGCCUGACCUGUUGAGAUUACAUACACUUUUUUACUGUAAUCGUUGUUCAGGAGUUGUCUGUAUUGUCAAACUUGUUUUCACAAGGUGAAAGACAACCCCGACUCCACAGAAAAGACCUGUUGCAACUGACCAAUGCUACACAUCUACCAGAAGCUCACAGAAUGGUUUAUUUAGGGACAACUGAGCCAGAGAUUCCAGACCCUGGUGAAAGCAGAGUUUUGGUGUAAAUAUUUCACUUCACAGCCUUAAGUAAUUAUUUUUAUUAUUAAUGUAAUAUUGUACAGUUGAUUGAUCCAAAUAAUGAAUGUACAGUAUGUAUUUAAUUAUUAUUGUGUGAUUAUACAGUAGAUUGAUCCAAUUACUAUUUUGAAUGUCAAUGUUUUGUCAGAGUUUGAUGGAAUAAAAUAAUUUAUUUUACAUGCUAAA